AAAAGAACUUUGAAGAGAGAGUUCAAUAGUACGUGAAACCGUCUAGAGGUAAACGGAUGGGACCGCUCAAUUCGGCGAACGGGAUUCAGUCUCGACAGCGCUUCGGCUAGGCCCCGGCGAUCGCGGAGAGUGCAGUCUUUCGCGAUCCAUGUCACGGCGGUCCUACUCGUUGACCGAAGCCAGGUAUUGUCGGGAUGCAGUUCCCUCGUUUGAAGCGCUGCGACAGGUUCUUUCGGAGGCGAUAAGCACGGGGUAGGACGGCGCUCUGACCCGAAAGACCCGCGAAAGCGGUGACGGGGACGACGAGAUUGGCUAGUCCAGGAAGGUAGCCCGCUUGACCGGGUGUUAUAGCCCCCCGAUCGCGGGCCUCUGUAGGAUCGAGGAACACGGCAUGUAGGUUCGCGUCGCACUCCAAGACUCUGAUCCGAAUGACCGGUGGCUACCACCACCGCGACGGGGAUGUAGAGGGAGUUGCGGCGGAGAAACCUGGCCCACGCGUCGGCAGGCGGUCAGGGUUUAAAGGGUUAGUAGCCUCCCUACCGUCAGUUUGUUGCCGGUCGUGCGGCACGGGUCAAUCUCCGAUGCGAAGGUGGCCUACAGGUCAGCAGUGAGUUGCUCGGCACCCCACCCGACCCGUCUUGAAACACGGACCAAGGAGUCUAACAUGUGUGCGAGUCAUUAGGAAUGUACGAAACCUACAGGCGCAUUGAAGGAAAAGUAGUGAGAUCCCGGUACCCUCCCCCGACUUACGACGACGGGGAGGCUCGCGGGCGCAUCAUUUGCCCGUUUCCAUUUGGAAAGCGGAGCGAGAGCAUACACGUUAGGACCCGAAAGAUGGUGAACUAUGCCUGAGUAGGGUCAAGCCAAGGGAAACCUUGGUGGAGGCCCGAUCUCGAACCUGACGUGCAAAUCGGUCGUCGAACUUGGGUAUAGGGGCCGAAA
rnacentral:rRNA from 1 species